rnacentral:lncRNA from 10 species
GACUGGGUGGAUGAGGCUCACCCCGGCGGGGAGAAGGGACGAGGAGGGGCGGACAGCGGAAGGUCCGGGAGUGUCCGCCAUAAAGUCGUUUGAGUUUUAACUUCUAGUCAUGGCGAAUGAUCGCAGGAGAGCACAGACUGGACCCUGCUACGAUCUCUCUUGGAGUGGAUCAGACUGAUGAUCACCAACAACCAACUCAUUCCCGGAUAAGGAAGAAGAGAGUGUCACCUACUUCAGUGUGGUUUCAACCCUACUUCUGCAUCUUAAAGACACUUGUACAACGUUGGACACUGUGCAGGAUGAUGCCACUUCAUCUUGGAUGCUAAUCUGCCAUGUUGACUUCUGAUUAACCCCAGGCCCAGGAAUGCCUCAAGAUUUCUACUUUACUUACUGUUGCUUGUGUAAGCCAAGACAACCUUGAUGUUAUCAUAAACAUGUACUUACCUAAGUCCUGUCCUUUGGCAAAUUAUGGGCUAUGAGACACAGCAUUCUUGCCUUUCCCUGAGGGGUCAAUUUCAGCGAUCCUACACAUUCCUUCUGAAGCACUUAUGCUCUUUCUAUAUGGUAUGUAAGCUCUCGGUCUGGGGAGUAACAGUGCAGAGAUCUACCUGUCUUGUUGCCACAUGUUUCUAAACUUUCCAAUAAAUCACCUUCUACUGACA